CCCAACGACUCUCGGCAACGGAUAUCCCGGCUCUCGCAUCGAUGAAGAACGUAGCGAAAUGCGAUACUUGGUGUGAAUUGCAGAAUCCCGUGAACCAUCGAGUCUUUGAACGCAAGUUGCGCCUGAGGCCAUCAGGCUAAGGGCACGUCUGCCUGGGUGUCACGC
rnacentral:rRNA from 2 species